AAAAACCCUUCGGCAAGCUCCCUACUCAUUUUCGGCUAGUUCCGGCAGCAUUCCCGACGAGCCUUCGGACUUCCAUAGAACUCUCGAACUCCCAACGAAUCCUUCGUGCUUGACUCCGACACUUUGUUUCGCUUCAUGUCUUCAUCGUUAUCGUAGUUAAUCCUGCACACACAAGCCAAAACUCUACUCCGAUCUAGACAAUUAUUACAAUGCGAAUUGACAUUCUGUUGCCCGGCACGUCAUUGGUUGGCGCUUCGUCCGAUUCUUCGGUGCAUCGUCCUCUCUUGCGGCUUGUUGCCCAAUCGGCGAUUGACCUCCGCAACCCCGAUAUCCUUGGCGCAAUUCCGCUCUCCUUGGCCCGAUGCCCGACGUCCGAAGCC
rnacentral:lncRNA from 1 species